UGGGGAAUUUUGGACAAUGGGCGAAAGCCUGAUCCAGCAAUGCCGCGUGUGUGAAGAAGGCCUUCGGGUUGUAAAGCACUUUUGUCCGGAAAGAAAUGGCUCUGGUUAAUACCUGGGGUCGAUGACGGUACCGGGAGAAUAAGGACCGGCUAACUACGUGCCAGCAGCCGCGGUAAUACGUAGGGUCCAAGCGUUAAUCGGAAUUACUGGGCGUAAAGCGUGCGCAGGCGGUUGUGCAAGACCGAUGUGAAAUCCCCGAGCUUAACUUGGGAAUUGCAUUGGUGACUGCACGGCUAGAGUGUGUCAGAGGGGGGUAGAAUUCCACGUGUAGCAGUGAAAUGCGUAGAGAUGUGGAGGAAUACCGAUGGCGAAGGCAGCCCCCUGGGAUAACACUGACGCUCAUGCACGAAAGCGUGGGGAGCAAACA
rnacentral:rRNA from 1 species